CUCACGCCUCUCUCACUCUCUCUAUCCUCUCGGCUCCCUCUCGCCUCCUGCCUGCCGCCGUUCAACGGCGCCGCCACCGCCGCCGGUGAGUGGCGCGGCUUCUCUCUCUCCCUCAGCAUCUCUCUUCCCCCUGACUCUAUAUUUCUCUCCCCCUCAGUUUUCCUUUAUCUCUCGCAUUUUGUCGACCGAGGCGCAACAGACGCCACCACUGUGGUGCGCCGCCGCCGCCUGCGCUCCACCUCCGGCCGAAUGGUCGCAUCCUCAUCUCCCUCAUCUAGCCUCGCUCUCUCUGUUACACACUCACACGUGCACGGACACGGCAUAAGCCGCACCGCCGCCGGAAACAGGACAGCAAACACCCCACCGCGGGGCGCCGCCGCCUGCUCCUUCUUUUCCGACGAUCUGGAACAGCACAACGGCGUAGCUGCCGUCGUCGCGCCAUCGCCGUACGUUUGCCCUGAUCGGAAGCCACCCGCCGCCGGUUGCCGGAAAAA